AUUGAACGCUGGCGGCAGGCCUAACACAUGCAAGUCGAACGAGUGGCGGACGGGUGAGUAAUGUAUGGGAAACUGCCCGAUGGAGGGGGAUAACUACUGGAAACGGUAGCUAAUACCGCAUACUAUCGGAUGUACCCAGAUGGGAUUAGCUAGUAGGUGGGGUAAAGGCUCACCUAGGCGACGAUCUCUAGCUGGUCUGAGAGGAUGACCAGCCACACGGGGACUGAGACACGGCCCAGACUCCUACGGGAGGCAGCAGUGGGGAAUAUUGCACAAUGGGCGCAAGCCUGAUGCAGCCAUGCCGCGUGUAUGAAGAAGGCCUUCGGGUUGUAAAGUACUUUCAGCGGGGAGGCGUUACCCGCAGAAGAAGCACCGGCUAACUCCGUGCCAGCAGCCGCGGUAAUAC
rnacentral:rRNA from 1 species